CACGCCAGCCCCGCCCCUCACGCCAGCUCGCGCCCCGCAUGGCUGCUGCAGGGGCCAGACCUGUAGAGCUGGGCUUCGCCGAGUCAGCGCCGGCGUGGCGACUGCGCAGCGAGCAGUUCCCCAGCAAGGUGGGCGGGCGGCCGGCAUGGCUGGGCGCGGCCGGGUUGCCCGGGCCCCGGGCCCUGGCUUGCGCGCUGUGCAGCCGCCCGCUCUCCUUCCUGCUGCAGGUGUACGCGCCGCUGCCCGACCGCGCGGACGCCUUCCACCGUGGCAUCUUCCUCUUCUGCUGCCGCGAGCCGCCGUGCUGUGCCGGCCUGCGAGUUUUUAGGAAUCAGCUACCCAGGAAAAACGAUUUUUACUCAUAUGAGCCACCUUCUGAGAAUCCUCCCCCAGAAACAGGAGAAUCAGUGUGUCUCCAGCUUAAGUCUGGUGCUCAUCUCUGCAGGGUUUGUGGCUGUUUAGGCCCCAAAACGUGCUCCAGAUGCCACAAAGCAUAUUACUGCAGCAAGGAGCAUCAGACCCUAGACUGGAGAUUGGGACAUAAGCAGACUUGUGCACAACCAGAUCAUUUCGACCAUAUAAUUCCAGACCACAACUUCCUUUUUCCAGAAUUUGAAAUUGUAAUAGAAACAGAAGAGGAGAUUAUGCCUGAGGUUGUGGAAAAGGAAGAUUACUCAGAGAUUACAGGGAGCAUGGGUAAGCAGUUUGAGGACUUCAUCCAUUAAGUGGUUAAACAUAAUGCUUGGAAGAAAGCUUAGUGUGUCUAGAAGAGAGGUACCUCAGCUGAAAAUACACUUCCCGGACUGUGUUUUCUGACACCUAUGAGGUGUGUUCCGCUCCCUGUAAAGACAAGGGUGGGUAUCCAGAUGGUCGCAUGAAUAGGGCUGCACAAGACGCUGGAAGCUUGGGAUAUAAUGGGAAGCAACACUCCACUGGUCAGAUGCUCACAGUCUCAUGGAGGAUCCCAAAUAAUACUUGGGGAAGUUACAUUCCAUGUAAUGACUGAUAAGAGUAUAAUACUGGUGCCAUCAGAACACAUGUGACAUCACUGAAGACUGCCUGGAAGGGACCACACGUGUGUUCAUACCUGUACGAUAAAAACGAUCAUGAAAAUGCUUACCUUUAGGAGAAGGCAGAGCCUAGAGUAGGAGGAUCAAGGAUGAAAGCUGGACUUCAAAUAUGCCUUAUUAGUAUAAAUGUGACUGUGGAACUGUGUAUUUUAAGAUUAUGAAGUAAGGUAAGUUAAAAAGCAGUCCCUAAUCAUCACAAGUAAAAAACUCUUGCUGUAGUCAUAUAACCACACUAAGAACUCUUCUAGGUGACUUCAACACAUAGGACAGUACAUCUCUAGUGGAAUAUACCCUGAGAAUGAAAAGAACGUAACAGUGUUAGUAUUUUCAAUAAACAUGUUAUUAAUAAACUGUUGCUGUUAUUUUGAGAUGGUUGUGUGUAUAUUGGGGGGAUAAAGGAAAUGAGUAAUUAUGUUGGUGUUACUGAAAACUGAGGUGCCGGGCGUAGGAGGAAGAUAAUGUUGAUUGUGUCUAUGUACCAUUUCUCUCUAAAAGGAACUCCAGGCUCUUUGGAGAGGUGGUUGGUUCCAGAACUGGGUCAGGAAAUGUUCAUAUAAUGUGGGAAGGGAAUGUGGUCAUAUCAAAGAUUAAGGAUGCCAGGAAGGAUUACUAGGGCCAUGUCAGAACUCAAGCAACAUGAAAAGGCUCCUGCUGGCAAAAGAUGGACAGUUUGAACAUCCACAAGGACACUAACUGCAGCAGAUAAUGUUUAACGGGUUCAAAGU